AAUGGGUUUGGCAACCAGAUAAUCAAAUCUCUUCGAAAAGGUAGGUAAACUCGACAUAAGCUAUGUUCAGUUCAGAUCUUGAUAUUAAGACCGAUGCAAUGGGCGAAGACCUUCAUAGGCGGGGUCAAAAAGAGUCUCUCUUUUUUAUAGCUUAUAGCCUGGAGACGGAACUACUCAAGCACUUCAACCAAUGCGUGAGCUUGACCAAUCUCCUCUACGCUUACUUCGAUGCAAAGACUUGCUUCAAACUGGAAAUCAGUAAAGAAAGCAAUAAAACAAAGAAGAAUUGAAUGUGUCCUAGCCGUUUGAGAUUCAGAAGGGUACUAGGUGAAUGGAAUGGUCCGAGAUAGAGGAUCAAUCUAUUGUCAUUUAUCUUAACGCCUGAACUCCUCAAACCAACCAAUCCAAGAAAACAUUCUCUGAUAGACGCCAUUGGCAUAUCUGUCUUUUUCCUAACCUUUAGGAGGGAUGGGGGAGUGACAAAUAGAGUAAGAGUCUGGCCCAACCAAUCAUGAUAGAAGAGGAAUUCCCACUAUAGAAUCAAAGAGAAGCGAUAGCCGCUCAAACAAAAGAAAGUGAGAGGUGCGCUACGGCUCUGACCAUAACAUAAGAAGAUCAACUAGUAUUUUAUACUCAAUUGAAUGGAGUAGUUCUCCCCAGAUCUAAUGGAGUCGGGUCCGGGGGUACCACUCAUGAAUCACAGAUGGGCCAGCUUUCUCUUAUUCGUAUGAACAUGAAAGCAGAGAAAGAUGGACUGGCACAGCAAUAGAACGAGGCAUCUGUAUCACGGAUAGCUGCCGAGUAGGUGACGGAGCUUGUAGUCGCUCAAAUAAAGUGAACAGUUUAGGGCACACGACCCCCUGACUUCCAUACUUCUACUGGGCUUGGGGAGACACCUUCAAUUGAGACGAGAUGUCUUCAGCUGCUUGGAUGAGAGAGGACUCAGAGACAAGCACCCCAUAUAUGUCAGCAACAUCAAAGGGGCUAGACCGGCCAUCCUCUUUUAC
rnacentral:lncRNA from 1 species